AUUGAACGCUGGCGGCAGGCCUAACACAUGCAAGUCGAGCGGAUGAAGGUAGCUUGCUACCUGAUUCAGCGGCGGACGGGUGAGUAAUGCCUAGGAAUCUGCCUGGUAGUGGGGGACAACGUUUCGAAAGGAACGCUAAUACCGCAUACGUCCUACGGGAGAAAGUGGGGGAUCUUCGGACCUCACGCUAUCAGAUGAGCCUAGGUACGAUUAGCUAGUUGGUGAGGUAAAGGCUCACCAAGGCGACGAUCGUUAGCUGGUCUGAGAGGAUGAUCAGUCACACUGGAACUGAGACACGGUCCAGACUCCUACGGGAGGCAGCAGUGGGGAAUAUUGGACAAUGGGCGAAAGCCUGAUCCAGCCAUGCCGCGUGUGUGAAGAAGGUCUUCGGAUUGUAAAGCACUUUAAGUUGGGAGGAAGGGCAGUAAGUUAAUACCUUGCUGUUUUGACGUUACCGACAGAAUAAGCACCGGCUAACUUCGUGCCAGCAGCCGCAGUAAUAC
rnacentral:rRNA from 1 species